UACUCGAGUUGCGAACGGGUGAGUAACACGUGGGUGAUCUGCCCUGCACUUCGGGAUAAGCCUGGGAAACUGGGUCUAAUACCGGAUAGGACGAUGGUUUGGAUGCCAUUGUGGAAAGUUUUUCGGUGUUGGAUUAGCUCGCGGCCUAUCAGCUUGUUGGUGGGGUAAUGGCCUACCAAGGCGUCGACGGGUAGCCGGCCUGAGAGGGUGUACGGCCACAUUGGGACUGAGAUACGGCCCAG
rnacentral:rRNA from 1 species